ACUCCUCCCUGUCCUCGUGGUACCUCGUUUUCGGUCCGCCAUUGAUGAUAUGGUCACUUCCUUCUCGGGCUCCGGCGCCGGAGUGAAAUCCGUCUUCCAAGUGACGAGAAGGAUGAUAAUGCUGGUGAAGGUGAUCAUGGAGGACGAUGAUAAUGGAGGAGAAGGCCUUUGAUGUUGGUGAUUUCACCAGAGUUUAUUUGACUGUGAAGGUGGAGAAGGAUGAUAAUGCUCGCUGUGGCGGGUUCCAGAAAUAGGUCAUACUACUGUGCUGGUCUCAGCAGAGCGGACAACUGCCCAGAUACCGCUUGAUUUUUCCUCCAGCAGUCUGAAAAAUUAAAAUUUUCACAUUCCCUUUGCAGGCCAUCAGGGAAUCAAAACAUCAAGACAAAUUUCUGCUGAUACAGGGGACAAUGAGAAGUGGGAAAAGUUGGUGGAAAAUAGCAGAGCGUGCAUGGGUAACACUUGAGACAGAAAGAAAUAAUGCAAGCCUGAUGCUUUUGUAUGUACUAUCUUGCAUACAAAAGGCCUGCCUAUUCAAUUAUAUAUAUAUAUAUAUAUAUAUGCAUAUAUAUAUAUAUAUAUAUUUGAUUCUUUUUGAAAACUUUAUUGCUUAUCUACUUGCAUGGAUUGCAUCAAUAAAAAUAGCAAGUAGGACACACACAUACACACUCUGUUUUCAUAUUUCUUACUUUCUUUCUAUAUGCUACUUGUCUGACUGGUAUAGACUUUGU